CCAGCGUAAAACUUGUGCCAAAACAACGUGCAGAUCCACCUUGGAUCUGCUGUGGUGACCCCAAGUGAAAACAGGGGAUCAGCCGAAGAGACUUAAUUUUUGACAUAGAUAGGUUGUACA